rnacentral:rRNA from 1 species
CCUACGGGUGGCAGCAGUGAGGAAUAUUGGUCAAUGGACGAGAGUCUGAACCAGCCAAGUAGCGUGAAGGAUGACUGCCCUAUGGGUUGUAAACUUCUUUUAUAUGGGAAUAAAAUGUUCCACGUGUGGGAUUUUGUAUGUACUAUAUGAAUAAGGUUCGGCUAACUCCGUGCCAGCAGCCGCGGUAAUACGGAGGAUCCGAGCGUUAUCCGGAUUUAUUGGGUUUAAGGGGAGCGUAGGUGGAUUGUUAAGUCAGUUGUGAAAGUUUGCGGCUCAACCGUAAAAUUGCAGUUGAAACUGGCAGUCUUGAGUACAGUAGAGGUGGGCGGAAUUCGUGGUGUAGCGGUGAAAUGCUUAGAUAUCACGAAGAACUCCGAUUGCGAAGGCAGUUCACUGGACUGCAACUGACACUGAGGCUCGAAAGUGUGGGUAUCAAACAGGAUUAGAUACCCGAGUAGUC